CCCUUAGAUGUUCUGGGCUGCACGCGCGCUACACUGAUGCGAUCAGCAAGUUUUUCCUAUGUCGAUAGACACGGGUAAUCUUUUGAACUCGCAUCGUGAUGGGGAUAGAUUAUUGUAAUUAUUAAUCUUCAACGAGGAAUUCCUAGUAGGUGCAAAUCAUCAGUUUGCAUCGAUUACGUCCCUGCCCUUUGUACACACCGCCCGUCGCUGCUACCGAUUGGUUGAUCUGGUGAAUUAUUCGGACUGCCGGCUGAAGGGGUUUCCUCAUCUGCCAGCGGAAAGUCUUGUUAACCCUAUCAACUAGAGGAAGCAGAAGUCGUAACA
rnacentral:rRNA from 1 species